rnacentral:tRNA from 1 species
GAGGGUAUAGCUCAGUGGUAGAGCGCAUGCUUAGCAUGCAUGAGGUCCUGGGUUCAGCCCCCAGUACCACUA